GCCAAGUGGAAAAAAGGUUUUGCAUAAAUUUUCCCUAAAAUUAUUCCAUUUACCAGCAGAUCAAGAUGCACGUAAGGAAAGAUCCAUUCAAGACAAAGUAAAGGCAAAUCCAUCUGUUUUAACUUUUCCUUAGACAUAGUGGCAAAUUCUAGUAGUUCUUGUAAUAGAACAGGAAAAAGUUCUCAUCUGGAAGGAAAAAGGGUUUUUAUAUGGAAGUGGAUAUCAGAGAAGAAUACAAAAAGAAACUGCAUACAUGAUACAACAUUCUAUUUUCAGCUAAAAGGUAGCUUAAGAACUCAUUUAGACUGGUGAAAAAUAAACUUACUUUUCCAAACAACACCU
rnacentral:misc_RNA from 1 species